UCUUUCGGCCGCCGGGUAGCAGCCCGGAAACUACAUUUCCCACCGUGCUUAGCGCGUCCGCGCAGGCGCGAAGGGCCUCUCUCGUUUCCAUGGGAACCUCGCCCCCGAGGGUCCCAGCCGCUUGGCUCUGCGGACCGCGUGGCCGUUGCUCCCCUUCAGGUGCCGUCGAGCUAGGACGGGGUCUGCAGACAGUUGAGGGGCAGAGUAGGGGGCUUGAGGGGCGGAAGCCAGGCGGCUCUGCCUCCCGGGACCACCGCUCCCAAAUUCUCGGCCUCCGGCCGUCCGCGCGCUCCCGGAGCCUCGGCGUUCUGAGGCGCGGUGGCCCGGGGAGGCCCGGGUUGGCGAGGCCGGUGUCCGCCUCUGGCCCGCGCAGCCCCGCUCGCUUCGCGCCAGCGCCCGGUCCCCGGCCGAGAGCCUGCGCGCCGCCGACAGAUGUGGGAUGGUGCAGGACUUCUGGAGGCCACAGAUGCUCCUCCUCCUGAACAUGGGACCCAAAGUGAGCUGUUACCUCAUCUCCCUGGCAGCCUGUGCUCUCGCCGUGGAGUCCUGUUCUUCCUCUCCAUCCUGCCCCUCCAGUUUGCUCCCACUCCACAGGCCGCAGGUAAGUGCCUGCUGGGUGUGCCAGGAUUCCUGAGUGGCUAAGUGCCACGUAAAGCUUUAAUAACUCUAGAACCUGAUGCUCGAGAGGAGGUUACCACAGCUCAGUGCCUGCCACGGAGGCCUACGUCAGCCUACGUCAGGGCCAUGCUGGUCCUUUACAAUUUACAAUGGCCAGCAAGUCUUAACAUUAUGACUUUCCCUUUUCCACCUGAGCGAUCUGAGUUUUUAGGUUAUAGACCAAAAAACUAAAUGGUGGCAUCGAGACCAGUGGUCUUUCCAUUGCCUUGGCUGUCACUGAAAGGGUGCCAUCUGCCUCCAGGUAAGGCUGUGGUCGUAGGCUAACCUGAAAGUAGGCCUGUACUCCCCUUCCUUCCCAUUGCAGCCAGAGUUUCCUACCCAUUUUCCUCAGUUUUCCAGCCUGGGCCAGCUGCUCUCUGGUAUGAGACAUAUUUGGCCAGAGGCUGUCACUGCCAUGCCCUCACUAGACACUGACUUGUUCCCAUGGCAGCAUGUCGCAGCAGAGAGCUGGUGCUCCACCCCCUACUCUGCCAGAUCUGCCUGCUCCCAGGAUCACUGGGACACUGUAGGGGAUUCUAUGUCUGGGCUGGAAGAGUAAGAAUACAAAACUGUUCUCCCAUUGGUGGGGAGGCAAGUCAGCAAAGUUUGCCCAGGGAGAUUCCCUGGCCUGGGUAGAAAUGCCGCACUCCAGCCCAUUGGCACACCUGGCAGCCAGCCAGUGAACCUCAGAGGUAAAGAUGGAGAGGGAGGCGUCAGAAAGGGGCGCACAGAACAAGCCCAGAUGCAAGCAAGGCCCCGUAUGCUGGCCUAGCUCAAGUCAGACAUAAUUGUGGGGGUGGGCGACAGGUUGGGUGAAGGAGGAUGCUUCUCAAGGCCAGAGAGACAGAGCUGCUUGUAUGUACCCCACAGAAUGUACGUGGCCUGGGAAGGCUUGGAACUGGGCGAGCGUGCUUGGGGCAGCAGCCGACUGUCUACCCCAGCAGCACGCAUUUCUUGGUUUGAUGGACCGACUCCCAACGGCCCAAGGCCUCAGGAGACCUUCAUAGCUUGUGGCAUCAACUAUAUUGAUAAUGUUGUGCACCAUAACCACUGUCCAUUUCCAGAACUUUUUCAUCAAACAUCCCAUCCCCCCUGGUAACCUCUAGUUUACUUUCUUUCUUUCUUUCUUUCUUUUUUUUUUUUUUUAAAGAUUUACUUAUUAUUUUAGAGAGCGAGAGAGGGAGGGAGUGCCAGUGCGUGGGGGGAGGGGCAGAAGGAAGGGAGAGAGGGAGAGAGAAACAGGUUCCCUGCUGAGCAUGCAGCCAAGGACGUGGGGCUUGGAACCAAAGUCAAGAGUCUGACGCUCAACCGACUGAGCCACCCAGGCGCCCCUCUAUUCUACUUUCUAUCUCCAUAAAUUUGCUUAUCCUAGGUACCUCAUGUAAGUAGAAUCAUUCAGUAUUUGUCAUUUUGUGUCUGGCUUAUAUCACUUAGCAUAAUAUCUUCAAGAUUCGUCCAUGCUUCUAGCAAGUGCCAGAAUUUCAUUCCUUUUGAAGGCUGAAUAACAUUCUACUACAUGGAUAGACCACAUUAUGUUUAGCCAUUCAUCUAUUGAUGGACAUGUGGGUUGUUUCCAUCUUUUGGUGACUGCGAAUGAUGCCAUGAACAUGGGUGUACAAGUAUCCGUUUGGGUCCCUGCUUCAGUUCUUUAGGGCAUGUGCCUAGAAGCAGGCCUGGGGAUCAUAUGGUAAGUCUAUGUUUAACUUUCUGAGGAACUGCCAAACUGUUUUCAUAGCGACCAAGAAACUUCACAAUGAUGCAAUAUUAUUAUCUAGAUUGCCUACCAUAAUUACAUUUCUCCAAAUAUCCCUAAAUUUUCCAUUA